AUCCAGCUGACAAGUCCCAAACAAGACGAAACGUGUGUCCUGGAU
rnacentral:hammerhead_ribozyme from 1 species